AAUAAAUAAAUAUAGGGCUUUGCUGGCGUUUGUGUUGUUGAAAACACGUGUUAGUGAGGUUUUGCGUAAUUUUAACUGUUGUGUCAAUUUAUUAGUUGGUGUCUGGACUGUACGUAUCCCGUGAAGUGUCCGACCCUUCAGCCG